AUGCUGCGCGCCGCCCACGCGGGUUUCUUCCCCUGCAACUGCAAGAAGAACAGAGUCAUGGACUCCACGGAUCCAUUGGACAAGAGCCCUCUGCUGGACGGAGGCAGCUCAUCGCAGGAGAAUUCCACGGAAUAUACAGGUGAUGGAUCUCUUUGUACCAGUGGUCAUCCUGCUUCCAGAGAACAUACAGGGAACUGGAAGGCCUCCUCCUUAACCAUAGUCUGUUCAUUCUGCUGUUAUCUGGCCUAUUCUUCAAUUGGAAAAAACCUAGUCAGUUAUCUCACAAAAGUCUUACAUGAAACAAAUUUGGAUGCUGCGAGACAUGUUGCAACUUGGCAAGGUACUAGCUAUCUCGCACCUCUGGUUGGAGCCUUCGUUGCUGAUUCGUAUCUGGGGAAGUACCGGACAGCUUUGAUCAGCUGCACAAUUUUCAUUAUGGGUAUGAUGUUGUUGCUUCUAUCAGCAGCACUUCCAAUAAUCUCAGCCGGUCCUCGUGCUUGGACUCUUUGGGUAGAUCCUAUCUCUUCUCGGUACAAUAUAUUCUUGGUUGGGUUGUACAUGGUUGGUUUAGGGUACGGUGCACAGAGCCCUUGCGUCACGUCUUUUGGAGCCGAUCAAUUUGAUGACACUGAUGAAGUGGAGAAGACCAGAAAGAGCUCUUUCUUUAAUUGGCACUAUUUCUCAAUCAAUGCUGGUUCAUUGAUCGCUGGGACUGUUAUUGUCUGGGUUCAAGAACAUGAAGGCUGGCUCUGGGGUUUUACAGUUUCUACACUAUUUGUGACUUUAGGUAUAAGUGUUUUUUUCUUGGGCUCCAUUGUGUAUAGAUUUCAGAAACCUGGAGGAAGCCCUCUAGCAAGAAUAUGGCAGGUUGUUGUUGCAGCUUCUCGGAACUUCGAUAAAGUUUUGCCAUGUGAUUCCUCAGCUCUUUAUGAGUUUUCGGGGCAAGGUUCGGCAAUCGAAGGCAGCCGGAAAUUGGAACAUACAAGUGGACUUGAGUUCUUUGAUAAAGCUGCGAUUGUGACACUACCUGACUGUGAAUCUCCUGGCCAACUUAAUAAAUGGAAGAUUUGUACCGUCACUCAGGUAGAGGAGUUGAAGAUUCUGAUCAGAAUGUUCCCAAUUUGGUCAGCAAUGGUAUUGUUUGCUGCAGUUCAGGAACAAAUGUUUUCAACAUUUGUAGAGCAAGGGAUGACAAUGGAGAAACACGUCUGGUCUUUCGAAAUACCCGCUGCAUCCUUUCAGUCCAUAGAUACAUUUACUGUCAUUAUGCUGGUUCCAAUUUAUGAGAGAGUCCUUGUUCCAGUAAUUAGAAAAUUCACUGGCAAAGCGAAUGGCAUUUCGUCACCGCAGCGAAUAGGGAUCGGUUUAUGUUUCUCCAUGCUCUCAAUGGUGUUAGCAGCAUUGGUGGAGAGUAACCGGUUACAGAUUGCACAGUCCGAAGGUUUGGUGCACAGCAAGGCGGCUGUUCCAAUGAGCAUCCUGUGGCAAGGACCCCAGUACUUUCUGCUAGGCGUCGCCGAGGUGUUCUCCAACAUUGGGCUAACUGAAUUUUUCUACGAUGAGUCUCCAGACGCCAUGAGAAGCUUAGGCAUGGCAUUCUCGCUUCUUAACAUCUCGGCCGGAAAUUACCUUAGUUCGUUUAUCCUUUCACUUGUGCCGGUAUUCACAGCCAGAGGAGGCAGCCCAGGGUGGAUACCUGAUAACUUGAAUGAAGGGCAUUUGGAUAGAUUCUACCUGAUGAUGGCUGGGCUGAGUUUACUGAAUAUAUUUGUCUUUGUAUUCUAUGCUAGGAGGUACAAAUGUAAGAAGGCUUCCUGA
rnacentral:rRNA from 1 species